rnacentral:rRNA from 1 species
AGCGAACGCUGGCGGCAGGCCCAACACAUGCAAGUCGAACGGAUCCUUCGGGAUUAGUGGCGGACGGGUGAGUAACACGUGGGAACGUGCCCUUUGGUUCGGAACAACUCAGGGAAACUUGAGCUAAUACCGGAUGUGCCCUUCGGGGGAAAGAUUUAUCGCCAUUGGAGCGGCCCGCGUCUGAUUAGCUAGUUGGUGAGGUAAAGGCUCACCAAGGCGACGAUCAGUAGCUGGUCUGAGAGGAUGAUCAGCCACAUUGGGACUGAGACACGGCCCAAACUCCUACGGGAGGCAGCAGUGGGGAAUCUUGCGCAAUGGGCGAAAGCCUGACGCAGCCAUGCCGCGUGAAUGAUGAAGGUCUUAGGAUUGUAAAAUUCUUUCACCGGGGACGAUAAUGACGGUACCCGGAGAAGAAGCCCCGGCUAACUUCGUGCCAGCAGCCGCCGUAACAC